rnacentral:rRNA from 1 species
GGGUGAGUAACACGUGGGCAAUCUGCCCUGCACUCUGGGACAAGCCCUGGAAACGGGGUCUAAUACCGGAUACGAGCCUCCCGGGCAUCUGGGAGGUUGGAAAGCUCCGGCGGUGCAGGAUGAGCCCGCGGCCUAUCAGCUUGUUGGUGAGGUAACGGCUCACCAAGGCGACGACGGGUAGCCGGCCUGAGAGGGCGACCGGCCACACUGGGACUGAGACACGGCCCAGACUCCUACGGGAGGCAGCAGUGGGGAAUAUUGCACAAUGGGCGAAAGCCUGAUGCAGCGACGCCGCGUGAGGGAUGACGGCCUUCGGGUUGUAAACCUCUUUCAGCAGGGAAGAAGCGAGAGUGACGGUACCUGCAGAAGAAGCGCCGGCUAACUACGUGCCAGCAGCCGCGGUAAUACGUAGGGCGCAAGCGUUGUCCGGAAUUAUUGGGCGUAAAGAGCUCGUAGGCGGCUUGUCGCGUCGAUUGUGAAAGCCCGGGGCUUAACUCCGGGUCUGCAGUCGAUACGGGCAGGCUAGAGUGUGGUAGGGGAGAUCGGAAUUCCUGGUGUAGCGGUGAAAUGCGCAGAUAUCAGGAGGAACACCGGUGGCGAAGGCGGAUCUCUGGGCCAUUACUGACGCUGAGGAGCGAAAGCGUGGGGAGCGAACAGGAUUAGAUACCCUGGUAGUCCACGCCGUAAACGGUGGGCACUAGGUGUUGGCGACAUUCCACGUCGUCGGUGCCGCAGCUAACGCAUUAAGUGCCCCGCCUGGGGAGUACGGCCGC